rnacentral:rRNA from 1 species
UACAGAGGUCUCAAGCGUUGUUCGGAUUUAUUGGGCGUAAAGGGUGCGUAGGCGGCGCGGUAAGUCGGGUGUGAAAUCUCGGAGCUUAACUCCGAAACUGCAUUCGAUACUGCCGUGCUUGAGGACUGGAGAGGAGACUGGAAUUUACGGUGUAGCGGUGAAAUGCGUAGAUAUCGUAAGGAAGACCAGUGGCGAAGGCGGGUCUCUGGACAGUUCCUGACGCUAAGGCACGAAGGUCAGGGGAGCAAACAGG